rnacentral:rRNA from 1 species
AGCGAACGCUGGCGGCAGGCUUAACACAUGCAAGUCGAGCGGGCGUAGCAAUACGUCAGCGGCAGACGGGUGAGUAACGCGUGGGAACAUACCUUUUGGUUCGGAACAACACAGGGAAACUUGUGCUAAUACCGGAUAAGCCCUUACGGGGAAAGAUUUAUCGCCGAAAGAUUGGCCCGCGUCUGAUUAGCUAGUUGGUGAGGUAACGGCUCACCAAGGCGACGAUCAGUAGCUGGUCNGAGAGGAUGAUCAGCCACAUUGGGACUGAGACACGGCCCAAACUCCUACGGGAGGCAGCAGUGGGGAAUAUUGGACAAUGGGCGCAAGCCUGAUCCAGCCAUGCCGCGUGAGUGAUGAAGGCCCUAGGGUUGUAAAGCUCUUUUGUGCGGGAAGAUAAUGACGGUACCGCAAGAAUAAGCCCCGCUAACUUCGUGCCAGCAGCCGCGGUAAG